rnacentral:tRNA from 1 species
GGUUUUAUAGUUGAUUACAACAGUAAAUUGCAGCUUUACAAGAGUAGCGAAAGUUACUAAAACUU